rfam:Nicotiana sylvestris Nsyl_contig139389, whole genome shotgun sequence.
UGUGAGGUAGAGGAAUUAGUCAACUCAUCAGGCUCAUGACCUAAAAAUUACUGGUUCGAAUCCUGUCCCCGCCU